GUAGGUGAACCUGCGGAAGGAUCAUUACCACGUUUCCAAACGUACUUACCAACGUGCACCGUUACUAUCUCCCUUUUCACUACUAUGGUUGGACCGCGCAGUGUGGGCAGAGCGAGGAGUUGUCAUGACGAAUCGGCUGCGCAGAACUUCGGCAUGCUUGUCAUGAGCAUGCCGAGACAACGAAAGUAGGGCAAAGGCAAACUUCUCUGUCUGAGGUAUCGCUCUGGUAUCGAGGAUGGGGGAAACUAUAACAUAUCUCACCCCUUUUUGCUAGUUGACUUUAUUAUGUUGUUUAUGUAGCUUCGGCUGCUGAGCACACGUUUAUUAAUUAAACGCUAAUUUACAACUCUUAGCAAUGGAUGUCUAGGUUCUC
rnacentral:misc_RNA from 1 species